rnacentral:rRNA from 1 species
CCUACGGGCGGCUGCAGUGGGGAAUUUUGGACAAUGGGGGCAACCCUGAUCCAGCCAUGCCGCGUGCGGGAAGAAGGCCUUCGGGUUGUAAACCGCUUUUGUCAGGGAAGAAAUCUUCCGAGCUAAUACCUUGGGAGGAUGAUGGUACCUGAAGAAUAAGCACCGGCUAACUACGUGCCAGCAGCCGGGGUAAAACGUAGGGUGCAAGCUUUAAUCGGAGUGACUGGGGGCGGUGGUGGAGGAGGCGUGUGAAAGCCCCGGGCUUAACCUGGGAACUGCACUUGUGACUGUACGGCUGGAGUACGGCAGAGGGGGAUGGAAUUCCGCGUGUAGCAGUGAAAUGCGUAGAUAUGCGGAGGAACACCGAUGGCGAAGGCAGUCCCCUGGGCCUGUACUGACGCUCAUGCACGAAAGCGUGGGGAGCAAACAGGAUUAGAUACCCUAGUAGUC